CACGGGGGGAGCAAGCGUUGUUCGGAAUCACUGGGCGUAAAGGGCGUGUAGGCGGUCAAGUAAGUGGGAUGUGAAAUCCCCCGGCUUACCCGGGGACCGGCAUCCCAUACUGCUUGGCUUGAGUACGGGAGAGGAUGUGGGAAUUCCUGGUGUAGCGGUGAAAUGCGUAGAUAUCAGGAGGAACACCGGUGGCGAAGGCGCACAUCUGGCCCGAUACUGACGCUAAAGCGCGAAAGCUAGGGGAGCAAACGGG
rnacentral:rRNA from 1 species